UUGUUGUGGAAGCCGACAGUGCCGAGGCAGUCAGGAAAAGUCCCACAGCCACGCACAUAACGCUCGUCCGAGGGACCUGCUGCUGAGAGGUCAGAGUCACACACGGUCUCCUUCAGCAUGAUAAUCUCCUGGCUCGUUCGGUAGGACAUGGAGCUGUUCUCUUUCCCCAUCUCAACACAGCCUCUCACCACCACUUCCAGGUCCUGGCCUUCUGGGGAGAAAAUAUAUGCAGGGAGACACGAAUAUGGACUGGAAUCCCUAGAAUGAGUCAGAAGACAAAGAUGGGAAGAAAAAGACAAUUCUAGUAGACGUUGGGUAGGAUACGCCAUCUGCAUCCAGAAAAAGAAUUAUGGAGAUUGAAAUAAAUCAACACAUGAUUUGUGUUCA